rnacentral:rRNA from 1 species
GACGACCAGCCACACUGGAACUGAGACACGGUCCAGACUCCUACGGGAGGCAGCAGUGGGGAAUUUUGGACAAUGGGCGAAAGCCUGAUCCAGCAAUGCCGCGUGAGUGAAGAAGGCCUUCGGGUUGUAAAGCUCUUUUGUCAGGGAAGAAACGGUGAGAGCUAAUAUCUCUUGCUAAUGACGGUACCGGUAGAAUAAGCACCGUCUAACUACGUGCCAGCAGCCGCGGGAAUACGUAGGGUGCAAGCGUUAAUCGGAA